rnacentral:rRNA from 1 species
GACGAACGCUGGCGGCGUGCUUAACACAUGCAAGUCGAACGGUGAAGCGCCUUCCUUUUUGGUGGGUGUGGAUGAGUGGCGAACGGGUGAGUAACACGUGAGUAACCUGCCCCCUUCUUCUGGAUAACCGCAUGAAAGUGUGGCUAAUACGGGAUAUUCUGGGUCUGUCGCAUGAUGGGUCUGGGAAAGAUAUUGGUUCGGUGGGGGAUGGGCUCGGGGCCUGUCAUCUUGUGGGUGGGGUGAUGGCCUACCAAGGCGGUGACGGGUAGCAGGCCUGAGAGGGUGGCCGGUCACACUGGGACUGAGACACGGUCGAGACUCAUACGCGAGGCAGCAGUGGGGAAUAGUGCACAAUGGGCGAAAGCCUGAUGCAGCGACGCCGCGUGAGGGAUGGAGCCCUUCGGGUUGUGAACCUCUUUCGCCAGUGAAGCAGGCCUGCCUCGUUUGUGGGUGGGUUGACGGUAGCUGGAUAAGAAGCGCCGGCUAACUACGUG